AUGUCACAAUCCUUUGUCAAACCAUAUGCUAUGCUCGAUGACGACACUUGUUUGAUGAAUAACCUCUUGAAUGCUGGGUUUUGCACUAAUGCUAACCACAUUUGUUUUUCCAAGUGUUUGUUGUCCUUACUCCUUUUGAAGGAAUCACAAGAUGGUGCGACAUUGGAGAGUGCCCAUUUCGAGCUUCAAGAAGACGAGUACUUGGUGAACGUCCACUUCUACACAGCGACGCCAUCUUCUUCCCAUGGUGAUUUGGUUUUCGAUCCGAGGUCGGAUCUUUCCCAAGGGGAAGGGGAUGAUGCAGAGCAUCCUACGGACAUCACCAUGUCAAGAGUCCGUUUGGCAAGUGACACGUGCGACAUCUACUUCACAUAUACAAAGGUGAAUCAUCUCCUUUACGCGUGUUCACUUAACCCCUUCGAGGAUGGUAUACCACUUGACACUCCACUCGUGUGCAUACAUAGGUACUGUCAAAACACCGCGGAUCACGAGGAGGAGUGUGAGCGCAAGCGUACAACUACACCAUCCACCAGGGAAGCAUGGAAGAGAAGGAAGAAGAGGAUCUGCCCAGUCCGGAACGGGCGGUACUACCGCCCACCCCAAGCAGUACUACCGCUAAGCCCAUCCAAGCGGUACUACCGCCCAACAUCCGCCCUACUUCCGCUUAACCCGACAAGCUCCUGUGAUCGAGCGGUACAAGUCCGGUACUACCGCUAA
rnacentral:rRNA from 1 species